GUGAAAAAGUGAGCACAAGAACAGAUGAAUGAUUUGCUAAAGUAAUUGUGGUGAUAGAAAUGUAUUAGCCUCGGAUGCUACCGAGGUGGCUCAUUCUAUCCCAGUACAUUG